AGAGAGAGAGAGGGAGCAAGAAUUUAAAAGUGGGUCCUUGUCAAAAUAGCCUAAAACAAUUAAUCUUUUACAUGUCCAUCCUUAUGUGGGGUCCUAUAUAGAAUAUUAUGAAGGGGUGGCAAAUACAGCCACCGAUAAUUCUUCCUAAUGUUGCAAAGUCUUUCCAACUUCUCUUCACUUUUCUUCAAAACAACAAGAUAAGCCUCAUCUAAAAGCACGUAAAAUAUGACUGUGGUAGGUGUUGAAGAUUUUGAUUAAAGUGUGGAUUAGAUACAUCAGUAGGCUGCUGAUUAAUACAAAAGCAGAUGUGAAUGUUACAGAGUGAACCUCUUUGAACAAUGAAAUAAAAUGAAUAAAUAAAGUGAAAAGUGGCUUGCUUUGAUAAUGGUUCUACGAACCAUGAUGUUUGGUAAUGGACAAUUGAAUAAAUUCUAUCUAUAGCUAAUGCUUCCUGACGUUAUAUUUGUACUCCAACUGCUUCCAUCUACUUGCCUCUGCUGCUUGACCACCACCAUUUCUUCGGUAAUCUGUUUCUAAUUUCCUCGUAAUCUUGAUGUUAGAUUGUCUUGAAUCUGUUAUCUGAUGUUACAUUAUUUACGAUUUUGACCUUAGGGUUUAGAGAAUUGCAGUAUAUAAUUUGAGAUCUGACAUCCUGUAGCCAAUACAAUAUGUUCAGAUUAUCUUUUGCUUAGGUUUUUCGCUCAUCUUUUAAUAUCGAUUUCUUUACACCUGAAAUAGACUAUAAGCACAUGUAUGUUUGUACAUUUAUCCAACCUCCAAAGACUCCAUCCAUUUCUUCUUGGUAGCGAGCUCGUAAGAAGAGGGGAUAACAUUAAGGUUGUUGAACUCUUCUUUCCUGUCAAGAGUAGAAUCUUGAGUGCAAGAUUGUGCUUUGUGGAAUCUAUGAAGUCUCACAUAGACCAACAAAAGUGCGGUGUAACAAUUAAGAUCAUGCCUUGGAAAGUUGGCUAGAAGAUGCUACUACCAAAAUGGUAAAGAUAACGAUCAAUCCAAUCGGUGAACAAACUGCGAUAAGGAAAAGGAAUGAAAGAAAGAAAGAUGAUGUCAUUUUCCCACCAUGAAAUGUCACUAUUCUCCAUUUGUCGAUUAUCAAAAGGCACUCAUAAUAUAACAGUACCAGACCUAUGGCUUCAACCUUCAAGGCUCAUUACAAGCUGAUUUAGAUGGAAAAUGAAGCUUGUAAAUUUUCCAUUCUACUGCAAAGAAGAUGUCGUAAAAUAAUGACGAGUUGCUAAAGUGAGCAUGGGUCGGCAGAACCGUAAUUGAUAUGUACUAUUCUUUGAGAUAGGAGGUUCAGAUUUUUGUCAUAACGAUGAGUUAGAAGAAACUAUAAUAUGUUAUUACACCGUUAGUAUGUUAGACUUCCGCCAUAAAUAUA